UUGGAUGAAUUGUAGAAUGUUGAGAC
rnacentral:piRNA from 1 species